rnacentral:rRNA from 1 species
GUUAAGAACGUCGUGAGACAGUUUGUAUGAUAUCUACUAGAUGUGUUAUUACCUGAGUGGAAGGACCCUCCAGUACGAGAGGAACGUGGGUUCGCAGCCUCUGGUCUACCAGUUGUUAUGAGCAGGCUGGGCAGCUACGCUGUAGACUGAUAAGUGCUGAAAGCAUCUAAGCACGAAGCAGUCCGCAAAACGAGGUAAUUUAGGCCGCAGUAAAAGACUGCGUUGAUAGAAACGGUGUGUAAGCAU